UUAAAUGGCUGCAGUAAUUUGACUGUACAAAGGUAGCAUAAUCAAUAGUUUUUUAAUUGAAAGCUAGAAUGAAUGGUUGGACGAAAUAAAAUCUGUCUUUAUUUAAUUUAAAAUAAAAUUUAAUUUUUAAGUUAAAAAGCUUAAAUUUUUAUAAAAGACGAGAAGACCCUAUAGAGUUUUAUAUUUUUAAUAUAUAUUUAAUUUAGAUUUGUUUAUUUUAUAUAAAAUUAAAUAUUUUAUUGGGGUAAUAUAAAGAUUAAUUUAAUUCUUUUUAUUUUUUUAUAUUUAUUUAUAUUAUAAUUGAUCCAUUUUUAAUGAUUAUAAGAUUAAAUUACCUUAGGGAUAACAGCGUAAUUUUUUUAGAGAGUUCAUAUUGAUAAAAGAGUUUGCGACCUCGAUGUUGGAUUAAAGAUUAAUUUAGGUGCAAAAGUUUAAAUGUUUGGUCUGUUCGACCAUUAAAUCUUUACAUGAUCUGAGUUCAGACCGGCGUGAGCCAGGUCGGUUUCUAUCUUUAUUUAAUUAAAAUAUUUUAGUACGAAAGGACCAGAUAUUAAUUAUAAUAAUUUAAAUUUUGAAUUUUAUUAUUAUUUUGGCAGAUUAGUGCAAUGAAUUUAGAAUUCUUUUAUAUAAAUUUUAUUUAUAAAUAAUACUUGUUUAAAUUUGAUUUUAUUAUUUUAUUUAUUAGAAUAUUAUUAUUAGUUAUUUGUGUAUUAAUUGGUGUUGCUUUUUUGACUUUAUUAGAGCGUAA
rnacentral:rRNA from 1 species